rnacentral:lncRNA from 1 species
GCCAGUUCUGAGUAGGACAGCAAGGAGAGGAACCAGUCUGAAGUGAGAGACAGAGGAGAGGAAGCCAGUCAUGAAGUGAGAGAGGAGAGGAAGCCAGUCUAAGUUAAGUAGCAGAGAAAGCCAGUCUGAAGUGAGAGAGGAGAGGAGAGGAAGCCAGUCUGAAGUGAGAGCGAUCGAGAGGAGAGGAAGCCAGUCUGAAGUUAGAGAGCAGAAGAGAGGAAGCCAGUCUGAAGUGAGAGAGCAGAGGAGAGAGCCAGUCUGAAGUUAGAGAGCAGAAAGAGGAAGCCAGUCGAAGUGAGAGCAAAGAGGAAGCACGAAGGAGAGAGGAGAGAAGCCAUCUGAAGUAGAGAGCGAAGAGGAAGCCAGUCUGAAGUUAGAGAAGCAGAGAGAGAAGCCAGUCUGAAGUGAGACAGCAGAGGAGAGGAACCAUCUGAGUGAGAGAGGAGGGAGAAGGAAGCCAGUCUGAAGUGAAGAGGAAGAGAGAGGAAGUCAG